rnacentral:rRNA from 1 species
AGAGUUUGAUCCUGGCUCAGAAUGAACGUGGGCGGCGUGGAUUAGGCAUGCAAGUCGAACGAGCCUCUGGGGGGUAACUCCUAGAGGAAAGUGGCGAAAGGGGCAGUAAUGUAUGGGUAACCUACCUUGAGGUCUGGGAUAGCUAUUCUAACGGAUAGGUAAUACCGGACGGCCUGAGUUGUCGGCAUCGAUGAUUUAGUAAAGGUUACGCCUCGAGAGGGGCCCAUAUGAUAUUAGCUAGUUGGUGAGGUAAUGGCUCACCAAGGCAAAGAUGUCUAGCGGGUGUGAGAGCACGACCCGCGUCACUGGCACUGAGACACUGGCCAGACUCCUACGGGAGGCUGCAGUCGAGGAUCUUCGGCAAUGGACGCAAGUCUGACCGAGCAACGCCGCGUGUGCGAUGAAGGCCUUCGGGUUGUAAAGCACUGUCGAGGGGAAACAAGCCGUAAGGUUGAGUGACCCCUGGAGGAAGCACGGGCUAAGUUCGUGCCAGCAGCCGCGGUAAGACGAACCGUGCAAACGUUAUUCGGAAUCACUGGGCUUAAAGGGCGCGUAGGCGGGUAAUCAAGUCAAUGGUGAAAGCCUCCAGCUUAACUGGAGAAGUGCCUUUGAUACUGAUUGUCUAGAGUGAGGUAGGGGCAUGUGGAACUUCCGGUGGAGCGGUGAAAUGCGUAGAUAUCGGAAGGAACGCCAGUGGCGAAAGCGAUGUGCUGGACCUUUUCUGACGCUGAGGCGCGAAAGCUAGGGGAUCAAACGGGAUUAGAUACCCUGGUAGUCC